rnacentral:rRNA from 1 species
AUUGAACGCUGGCGGCAGGCCUAACACAUGCAAGUCGAGCGAGCGGCGGACGGGUGAGUAAUGUCUGGGAAACUGCCUGAUGGAGGGGGAUAACUACUGGAAACGGUAGCUAAUACCGCAUACCAUCAGAUGUGCCCUGAUGGGAUUAGCUAGUAGGUGGGGUAAUGGCUCACCUAGGCGACGAUCCCUAGCUGGUCUGAGAGGAUGACCAGGCACACGGGAACUGAGACACGGUCCGGACUCCGACGGGAGGGAGCAGAGGGGAAUAUUGCACAAUGGGAGCAAGCCGGAUACAGCCAUGCCGAGUGUAUGAAGAAGGCCUUCGGGUUGUAAAGUACUUUCAGCGGGGAGGCGUUACCCGCAGAAGAAGCACCGGCUAACUCCGUGCCAGCAGCCGCGGUAAUUC